rnacentral:misc_RNA from 1 species
GAUGAAGAACGUAGCGAAAUGCGAUACUUGGUGUGAAUUGCAGAAUCCCGUGAACCAUCGAGUCUUUGAACGCAAGUUGCGCCCGAAGCCAUUAGGCCGAGGGCACGCCUGCCUGGGCGUCACACGUCGUUGCCCCCCCAUCUAAUCCUUCGGGAUUGCGGGGGGCGGAUGAUGGCCUCCCGUGCGCCUCGUCGCGCGGUUGGCAUAAAUGCCAAGUCCUCGGCGACGCACGCCACGACAAUCGGUGGUUGCGAAACCUCGGUUGCCCGUUGUGUGCGGUCGUCGCGCAUCGAGGGCUCGAAAAAAUUGCCGGGCUCCGGCUCGACUUUCAACGCGACCCAAGGUCAGGCGGGGUUACCCGCUGAAUUUAAGCAUAUCAAUAAGCGGAGGA